rnacentral:rRNA from 1 species
CCUACGGGUGGCAGCAGUGGGGAAUAUUGGACAAUGGAGGGAACCCUGAUCCAGCGACGCCGCGUGAGUGAAGAAGUCUUUCGGUAUGUAAAGCUCUAUCAGCAGGGAAGAAAAUGACGGUACCUGACUAAGAAGCCCCGGCUAACUACGUGCCAGAAGCCGCGGUAAUACGGAGGGGGAAAGCGUUAUCCGGAUUUACUGGGUGUAGAGGGAGCGUAGACGGUUCAGCAAGUCUGAGGUGAAAGGUCGGGGACCAACCCAGGUAAUGCAUUGGAAACUGUUGAACUGGAGUACAGGAGAGGUAAGCGGAAUUCCUAGUGUAGCGGUGAAAUGCGUAGAUAUUAGGAGGAACACCAGUGGCGAAGGCGGCUGACUGGACUGUAACUGACGUUGAGGCUCGAAAGCGUGGGGAGCAAACAGGAUUAGAUACCCGUGUAGUC